ACUCCUACGGGAGGCAGCAGUAGGGAAUCUUCCACAAUGGGCGCAAGCCUGAUGGAGCAACACCGCGUGAGUGAAGAAGGGUUUCGGCUCGUAAAGCUCUGUUGUUAAAGAAGAACACGUAUGAGAGUAACUGUUCAUACGUUGACGGUAUUUAACCAGAAAGUCACGGCUAACUACGUGCCAGCAGCCGCGGUAAUACGUAGGUGGCAAGCGUUAUCCGGAUUUAUUGGGCGUAAAGAGAGUGCAGGCGGUUUUCUAAGUCUGAUGUGAAACGCCUUCGGCUUAACCGGGAGAAGUGCAUCGGAAACUGGAUAACUUGAGUGCAGAAGAGGGUAGUGGAACUCCAUGUGUAGCGGUGGAAUGCGUAGAUAUAUGGAAGAACACCAGUGGCGAAGGCGGCUACCUGGUCUGCAACUGACGCUGAGACUCGAAAGCAUGGGUAGCGAACAGGAUUAGAUACCCUGGUAGGAUAGCG
rnacentral:rRNA from 1 species